GGAGGGGUGCCCUUCGGGGAGCCGUGAGACGGGUGCUGCAUGGCUGUCGUCAGCUCGUGUCGUGAGAUGCUGGGUUAAGUCCCGCAACGAGCGCAACCCCUAUGGAUAGUUGCCAGCAAGUAAUGUUGGGCACUCUAUUCAGACUGCCCGGGUUAACCGGGAGGAAGGUGGGGACGACGUCAAGUCAUCAUGGCCCUUACGCCUAGGGCUACACGCGUACUACAAUGGCGCGCACAAAGGGGAGCGAGACCGCGAGGUGGAGCCAAUCCCAAAAAACGCGUCCCAGUCCGGAUUGCAGUCUGCAACUCGACUGCAUGAAGUUGGAAUCGCUAGUAAUUCGAGAUCAGCAUGCUCGGGUGAAUGCGUUCCCGGGCCUUACGUUCCCGGGCCUU
rnacentral:rRNA from 1 species